GUCAGGAUGGCCGAGCGGUCUAAGGCGCCAGACUCAAGGUGAAAAUCCUUCCUGGAAAGGGCAUUCUGGUCUCCGAAUGGAGGCGUGGGUUCGAAUCCCACUUCUGACA
rnacentral:tRNA from 1 species